ACGGGAGGCAGCAGUGGGGAAUAUUGCACAAUGGGGGAAACCCUGAUGCAGCGACGCCGCGUGAGUGAAGAAGUAUUUCGGUAUGUAAAGCUCUAUCAGCAGGGAAGAUAAUGACGGUACCUGACUAAGAAGCACCGGCUAAAUACGUGCCAGCAGCCGCGGUAAUACGUAUGGUGCAAGCGUUAUCCGGAUUUACUGGGUGUAAAGGGAGCGUAGACGGCAUGGCAAGUCUGAAGUGAAAGCCUGGGGCUCAACCCCGGAACUGCUUUGGAAACUGUUAAGCUAGAGUGCAGGAGAGGUAAGUGGAAUUCCUAGUGUAGCGGUGAAAUGCGUAGAUAUUAGGAGGAACACCAGUGGCGAAGGCGGCUUACUGGACCAUAACUGACGCUGAGACACGAAAGUGUGGGGAGCAAACAGGAUUAGAUACCCUGGUA
rnacentral:rRNA from 1 species